rnacentral:rRNA from 1 species
CAGUCGCCGCGGGAAUACGUAGGUCCCGAGCGUUGUCCGGAUUUAUUGGGCGUAAAGCGAGCGCAGGCGGUUAGAUAAGUCUGAAGUUAAAGGCUGUGGCUUAACCAUAGUACGCUUUGGAAACUGUUUAACUUGAGUGCAAGAGGGGAGAGUGGAAUUCCAUGUGUAGCGGUGAAAUGCGUAGAUAUAUGGAGGAACACCGGUGGCGAAAGCGGCUCUCUGGGACAACACUGACGCUGAGGCACGAAAGCGUGGGGAGCAAACAGGAUUAGAUACCCCUGUAGUCCCUGUCUCUUAUACA